rnacentral:rRNA from 1 species
GACGAACGCUGGCGGCGUGCUUAACACAUGCAAGUCGAACGAAGUGGCGCACGGGUGAGUAACGCGUAAUCAACCUGCCCAUCAGAGGGGGACACCAGUUGGAAACGACUGCUAAUACCCCAUACUGAAGGUGGGGAUUGCGUCUGAUUGGCUAGUUGGCGGGGUAACGGCCCACCAAGGCGAUGAUCAGUAGCCGGUCUGAGAGGAUGAGCGGCCAGACUGGGACUGAGACACGGCCCAGACUCCGAGGGGGGGCAGCAGGGGGAAGGCGUCCGCAAUGGACGAAAGUCUGACGGAGCAACGCCGCGUGAGGGAUGACGGCCUUCGGGUUGUAAAGCUCUGUUAAUCGGGACGCGGUACCGGAAGAGAAAGCCACGGCUAACUAUGUGCCAGCCGCCGCGGUAAUUC